UCCUGACUGACCGAUAGUGAACCAGUACCGUGAGGGAAAGGCGAAAAGAACCCCGGCGAGGGGAGUGAAAAAGAACCUGAAACCGUGUACGUACAAGCAGUGGGAGCACGCUUAGGCGUGUGACUGCGUACCUUUUGUAUAAUGGGUCAGCGACUUAUAUUCUGUAGCAAGGUUAACCGAAUAGGGGAGCCGAAGGGAAACCGAGUCUUAACUGGGCGUUAAGUUGCAGGGUAUAGACCCGAAACCCGGUGAUCUAGCCAUGGGCAGGUUGAAGGUUGGGUAACACUAACUGGAGGACCGAACCGACUAAUGUUGAAAAAUUAGCGGAUGACUUGUGGCUGGGGGUGAAAGGCCAAUCAAACCGGGAGAUAGCUGGUUCUCCCCGAAAGCUAUUUAGGUAGCGCCUCGUGAAUUCAUCUCCGGGGGUAGAGCACUGUUUCGGCAAGGGGGUCAUCCCGACUUACCAACCCGAUGCAAACUGCGAAUACCGGAGAAUGUUAUCACGGGAGACACACGGCGGGUGCUAACGUCCGUCGUGAAGAGGGAAACAACCCAGACCGCCAGCUAAGGUCCCAAAGUCAUGGUUAAGUGGGAAACGAUGUGGGAAGGCCCAGACAGCCAGGAUGUUGGCUUAGAAGCAGCCAUCAUUUAAAGAAAGCGUAAUAGCUCACUGGUCGAGUCGGCCUGCGCGGAAGAUGUAACGGGGCUAAACCAUGCACCGAAGCUGCGGCAGCGAUGCUUAUGCGUUGUUGGGUAGGGGAGCGUUCUGUAAGCCUGCGAAGGUGUGCUGUGAGGCAUGCUGGAGGUAUCAGAAGUGCGAAUGCUGACAUAAGUAACGAUAAAGCGGGUGAAAAGCCCGCUCGCCGGAAGACCAAGGGUUCCUGUCCAACGUUAAUCGGGGCAGGGUGAGUCGACCCCUAAGGCGAGGCCGAAAGGCGUAGUCGAUGGGAAACAGGUUAAUAUUCCUGUACUUGGUGUUACUGCGAAGGGGGGACGGAGAAGGCUAUGUUGGCCGGGCGACGGUUGUCCCGGUUUAAGCGUGUAGGCUGGUUUUCCAGGCAAAUCCGGAAAAUCAAGGCUGAGGCGUGAUGACGAGGCACUACGGUGCUGAAGCAACAAAUGCCCUGCUUCCAGGAAAAGCCUCUAAGCAUCAGGUAACAUCAAAUCGUACCCCAAACCGACACAGGUGGUCAGGUAGAGAAUACCAAGGCGCUUGAGAGAACUCGGGUGAAGGAACUAGGCAAAAUGGUGCCGUAACUUCGGGAGAAGGCACGCUGAUAUGUAGGUGAAGUCCCUUGCGGAUGGAGCUGAAAUCAGUCGAAGAUACCAGCUGGCUGCAACUGUUUAUUAAAAACACAGCACUGUGCAAACACGAAAGUGGACGUAUACGGUGUGACGCCUGCCCGGUGCCGGAAGGUUAAUUGAUGGGGUCAGCGCAAGCGAAGCUCUUGAUCGAAGCCCCGGUAAACGGCGGCCGUAACUAUAACGGUCCUAAGGUAGCGAAAUUCCUUGUCGGGUAAGUUCCGACCUGCACGAAUGGCGUAAUGAUGGCCAGGCUGUCUCCACCCGAGACUCAGUGAAAUUGAACUCGCUGUGAAGAUGCAGUGUACCCGCGGCAAGACGGAAAGACCCCGUGAACCUUUACUAUAGCUUGACACUGAACAUUGAGCCUUGAUGUGUAGGAUAGGUGGGAGGCUUUGAAGUGUGGACGCCAGUCUGCAUGGAGCCGGCCUUGAAAUACCACCCUUUAAUGUUUGAUGUUCUAACGUGGACCCGUGAUCCGGGUUGCGGACAGUGUCUGGUGGGUAGUUUGACUGGGGCGGUCUCCUCCUAAAGAGUAACGGAGGAGCACGAAGGUUGGCUAAUCCUGGUCGGACAUCAGGAGGUUAGUGCAAUGGCAUAAGCCAGCUUGACUGCGAGCGUGACGGCGCGAGCAGGUGCGAAAGCAGGUCAUAGUGAUCCGGUGGUUCUGAAUGGAAGGGCCAUCGCUCAACGGAUAAAAGGUACUCCGGGGAUAACAGGCUGAUACCGCCCAAGAGUUCAUAUCGACGGCGGUGUUUGGCACCUCGAUGUCGGCUCAUCACAUCCUGGGGCUGAAGUAGGUCCCAAGGGUAUGGCUGUUCGCCAUUUAAAGUGGUACGCGAGCUGGGUUUAGAACGUCGUGAGACAGUUCGGUCCCUAUCUGCCGUGGGCGCUGGAGAACUGAGGG
rnacentral:rRNA from 1 species